UACCAGCACCCCGAGUGGUCGGGACGAUUAUUGGGCCUAAAGCAUCCGUAGCCGGCCUUACAAGUCCUCCGUUAAAUCCAGCUGCUUAACAGAUGGGCUGCGGAGGAUACUAUAAGACUAGGAGGCAGGAGAGGCAAGCGGUACUCAGUGGGUAGGGGUAAAAUCCGUUGAUCCAUUGAAGACCACCAGUGGCGAAGGCGGUGUGCCAGAAUGCGCUCGACGGUGAGGGAUGAAAGCUGGGGGAGCAAACGGG
rnacentral:rRNA from 1 species